GGAGCUGGCCACGCCGGCUGGCGGCCAGGCUGCUCGUUACCCGUCAACGACUGAGACACACGCAGGCUGCAAAACCCUUCCCGCGGCGAGAGCGAGCCUUUUCCAGCGCGCAGCCCGGUCAGCCUGACAGCUCGGGGAGGGGAGGGUCUCCCAUAAAGAUGCCUUGCAGGGGCCCUGGCAGAGAGCAGCCAGCCAGCCAGGAGGGCCCCAGCGCUCGCCACCUUUCUGGGCCCCGCUGCCCGCGUCAAUAGGAGGCUGUAAAAUCCAAUCCUGCAAAGGGCACCUAGUCAACCUGUGAAAUUCAUUGUCAUUGAAGGUCAUUGAGAAAAAUCCUCAAAAUCCUUGCAGUAAUACAAGGUCCAAUAUAAAGUGAUGAGAGAAAUCACAUCUCGGAUGUCUGGGAGGAAGCUGGUCACCUUCAGAGAUCAGAAUGGAGUUCCCCUGCUUCAGCACUGUACGGCACUUCACAACUAAGGCUGGAGCAAAAGUUUUACACAGGUGAAACACCACUGACCUCAGAGGAGUCACCUAAUUUACACCAAUGUAAGAAUCAGGCCCAACGAGUAUGACAUAUCAAAGCUGCUGAAAUCUACUGGAAAUCAGGAUUCCCCAAUGCCAAUCUUCUAUACUCACUAGUGCU